rnacentral:rRNA from 1 species
CAGUCGCCGCGGUAAUACGUAGGGUGCAAGCGUUGUCCGGAAUUAUUGGGCGUAAAGAGCUCGUAGGCGGUUUGUCGCGUCUGCUGUGAAAACUGGAGGCUCAACCUCCAGCCUGCAGUGGGUACGGGCAGACUAGAGUGCGGUAGGGGAGAUUGGAAUUCCUGGUGUAGCGGUGGAAUGCGCAGAUAUCAGGAGGAACACCGAUGGCGAAGGCAGAUCUCUGGGCCGUAACUGACGCUGAGGAGCGAAAGCGUGGGGAGCGAACAGGAUUAGAUACCCCCGUAGUCCCUGUCUCUUAUAC